GCGGCGGCGGGCAGCCCUGCGGCGGGGGCGUUUGGCGAUGGGCGCCGGCGGGGAGCGGGACCGGCGUGGGAGUGGGGGAGCGCGGAGCCCCCGGCCGCCGCUGGCUGGGGGUCGCAGCGGCUGAAGCGGCGGCCCAAAGGCAGCCCGGACGCCACGAUGAGGGGCAUCCCGGGCUUCAAGCGGCUGCGGCUCAAAAUCUGGCGGCGAUGCACCCUGCUGCUCCUCCUCCUCCUCUGGGCUGCCUGCUGGCUGGUGGUGAGCGCCUUGCUCUUCGUCCUCCACAGGAGCGUCUUCUCCGAGCGCUGCACGGACGAGAAGAGCCACCGGAUCCUGGCGAGGCUGUGUCUUGACUACAGCAGCGGAGCCCUGACUGGUGACCUCUGUGAAGACCUGUGUGUGGCACAGAAGCUGGUGUACAAACACUGCCUUUACUAUGACAGAGGUAAGAAGGUCAUCCAGGCUGACUGGAGAGGCCAGCCCAUCAUCCUGAAAUCCAAAAAGGAAAUCUUCUCCAGCUACCAGCAUCUCAGUAUGCUAGAGGAGGUGGAAACACAGGAUAUUCCUGAAACAGAGCUUCUGCUGAUGGUAGCCUUGGAGGUCAAAAAUGUCCUGGGGCUAGAACUGUCUAACAAUUCCAUGGGGCCUCUGUGGACGAGGAAGAAGGGACCACGUUGGAAAGCACAGGUGGCCAGCAUGUGGUCCUUGCUCCAGCAGGAAGAAUAUAUCUACUUCAGUUUGCUGCAGGACUUCAGCAAACACGUGCUACGAAUUAUUGGCUCUUGUGGACACUUUUAUGCUGUGGAGUAUCUUACAGCUGGACAUGCCUGGCACAAAACUCUUUUUCCCUUGGAAAACGUGGUCGGUCCCUCCCUUGCUGGCCACAGAAGCAGGGUGAGAGCCAUCAUUGACAUUGCACUCAGCUUUCUCGACAUGGUGCAGCAUUUUGACAACGAUUUCUCUCACCGACUUCACCUGUGUGACAUCAAACCAGAAAACUUCGCUAUCAGGCAUGAUCUCACGGUGGUGGCCAUCGAUGUGGAUAUGGCCUUUUUUGAACCCAAAAUGAGGGACAUCCUUGAACAGAACUGCACAGGAGACGAAGACUGUAAUUUUUUUGAUUGCUUUUCAAAAUGCAAUCUGAAAAUCAGAAAAUGUGGAGCACAGAGAGCCAACAACAACUUGCAAGUAAUCUGUGACAAAAUAUUCCGUCGCUGGUUUUCCCCAAAUCUCAGAGGACCGUUGGUUUCCCUCCCCCUGCAGCUGCAGCUGCAGAAGGCGGUGCAGGAGUGUGCCGAGCCGGGGCACGUGGACGCUGCCGGGCACCAGAGGACUCUGAAAUCUCUCUCGGAGCUAUACCACCUGCUUCGGGUCACGCAGCGAGAACUGCAAAGGGCAGAGUAGACACAAAAGGCAGAACUGCAAGGGCCGCAUCCCAGCCGCUGCUAAGGGACGCUGUGUAUGAGGCAGUCUGCGUUUUCUUUCUCUCUCUUCCAUCUCUCCUACCCCUCGUAUUACAUUUACAGCACAGAGAUUGUUUUUCUCCUAUGCAAAUGAAAUUCAUGGCUGCGGGUGCAGCACCUCCUGUUAAUAUCCUUUCAAGUGUGAAAUUGUUUUACAUUACCUGGAUUCUGUUCUUGCUUAUUUUCCUGAGCUAGCGCUAGCCCUCUCCAUCAGCAGACAGCACAUCGUUUGCUUACCAAGAGCUGUAGUCACUGCUCAGAUAGCAUCUGAGUGCGGUGCUCAGGGUGAGGAGGCAUUUACAGAAGAAAAGUGUAAGUGCAGCAAAACUAGUAUCAAUAAUUAAAGUAGUGGGUGGGUGGGUGUGGACAAGUACAUGAAUGGUGUUUGUUUUAAUUUCUCCGUAGAAUAAUUUUUUUUUUAAGUAGGGACAGAGUGCUCUGUGUGAAAAAACAAUCUCAAAUAGGGAAAUGUAUUGUCACAGAAGUGAAGAGUUUCUUUUAUACAAAGCAGUCCUUUCUGAUGUCCCCAAAUGCAUUUUCUCUGGUGUGUUGCAUUACCUGUGCCACAGCUAACUUUCUGGUGAGAAACUGUAUGAAGGUACUUAGGACUUUUCUAGAGCAAAAUAAUUAUACCCUUGUCAAGUUCCCAUGUGGGCACUCAUAUUCUGCAGUGGAGCGGUAUGAAUAAUGCCACUGAAUUUUGCCAUGUGAACAAGCCCUCAGGCACUUGUACAUCAGAGCACUUGAUAAGAAGCACUCCUUUGCCAGAGAGCAGAAUUACCCAGGAAUGCCAACAAUCUGUCGCUUGCACUGAACAGAAAAAUAUCCAGACCUGGUGUUUUCUUACACAGUAUUUUUUUAAUGAACAAAAGGAAAUUUUUUGUAAGAAUUCAUUAUCUUGCAAUCAGUUACAUAAAAAAAGAUCCCUAGAUUAACUUAAAAUCAUUAACUUUGCUUUUCAAGCGCAUGUAGCUGUGGCUGGAGAAUCUAACACACAGGUUCAGAAAGCACUGCGUGUGUUUCGGUCCAAUACUGGGCAAUAUACCCCUGAGCUGGUUUUGGCAUGAAGACAUUAAAAACUCCACAAACAGAAAAAAACCGACAGCCUGCGACAGCCCCUCAGCUCAGGACGACUCUUCAAUAUUAAGACUGACAAUACUGGUUUGUGGAUGUGAGACACAUAACAGUACCUAAUCUUUUUUGUCUUUGUAUCCCUCAGCUGUAUGACAGCCCUGAAGCCCUUGAGCACUUAUCAUACAUAAACUUCCAAUUUCUGGAGUGGUUCUUUAAAGUGAUGUCAAAGACUGCCUGUGACCAGAAAAAUGUGAGCUGCUUAGGAGACCUUGACACUUAUCCAAAACUAGCUCAAAUUUUCGGACUAGUGCUAGUUUUUUUUCUAUUUCUUGCAAUAAACUACCGUAAUUUUAAAAAUCAUGCAAGCCCUCAAGAAGCUCACAGCGAGGGCAAGGUCGGCUGCCUUGCCUGGGGCUGUACUGAAGAGAAGCUGCUGCUAAGCCAGAGCUACAGCUUAGGAGCUGUUGGCUGGUGAAGUUGUGCUCAGUCUGUGCUUCUCCUCUAACCAGGGAGACAGGCAAUAUUUCACUACUUUAGGAUCAUCCUUUGCAAAAGCAGGAAGGCAAAGCAGAACCAGAAGAAACCCAAAUUCAGAACAAGCCCUGUUGCAAAGUUGUGAAAUUGAUAGAGGAGAAAAUAAUUAAGGAUAGAAUCAGGUUAUGGUAAAGGGCUGGGGACAGAUGAAGCAUCAGGUAGAGAAAGGAUAAGGAAAAAGAGAUGAAGGAGAAAUAGGAAAAGUGAAGUAAAAAAUAUGGCCCACUUUUUGUGAAAACAUGAUUUAUGAUGUAAGAUUGAAUAAACUGGCAUUUACUGUGAGGAAGAAGAGAGCAUGGUACUCUUACUGAAGAGAAGCAUGGUAACACUCUUCAGAAACAGAAAGAGGCUGAUAAAAAGAGAGUAGGAGAGAACUGCCCUGUCCAGAUUUCCUUGGUGGAUAUGGCAAGCAAUGAGCUUAAAUUGUAGCAAGGACAAUUCAGGCUAGAUGUUUGUUACAGUCUUUCUAAUACUAAGGAACGGUGGAGAUAUGGCACACAUCAUUUGGGAAAACUUCCUAAGCUGUGAUUUUUUAACUACAGGCAAGAGUGAGUGCCUGUCAGGAAUGAGGUAUGUGCAGUUACGUCAAUGAUCCUGCCUUGAGGUAGCCUUUUAUCUCCAAGUCCUGUGAUUCUGUUAUUACCAGCUAGUAUUUGUGCUCUUGUGACCCCCUUGCAACAGAAUCCACCUUUCUGAGACACGGGGAUAGGUAACUCUCCUUUACCUUACAUGUGCAAAUCCGUGGGGUCUCCCGGGGAGGGAAGGCACGGCACAGAGAUCUCCAACUGUGCAAAUGAUGCUACAGAGCCCGGUGGUGCCAUCGGGGUUCGUGUGUUCCCCACACGACCCCCCUGCUGAAGGCACUGAUCCUUGCUAGGUCAGGAGUGACCCAGUAUAUACCCCAAAUGCUGCUGGGGAACCUGAAGACCUUUACAUUAUCGCUGUCUUGGUUCCCUCGGUCCCGUUAAUUCUUUCCUCCUUCCCAAGGCCGGAGGGUACCAUCAGGGAAAAGCAAGGCUCAUGCAGACGCCCAGUGCGUUGCGGCACUGUCACAGCCCACCGCGGCCGGGGUCCCCUUCCCAUUUUCAGGUUUGCCUUUCAAACAGGCUAAAUUUCCGCUGGAUGUGAUGUUUCGGUUUUAAAACGGGUGGAAAAAAAACACAGAAAAAUGAAAGCCGGUGGCAGCCGAACGCUGGUGGAAUGUCACUCUGCUCAGAAGGUCCUUCUCCUUGGCAGGAUUUGGGAGGGGAUGCUGCCUUUGACAGAUUUCUCCAACCCCCCCCAGGGCCUGGCUGCAGCCACCUCCACCUGGCAGGGACCUCCUUCCCCCACACCACACACUUUCCCAGGUUGUUAGGUUUCACUUCUUCUUUUCAGAAUACAGAGAAUAAUCCUCAGAAACUUCUCAAAAGCGACACAAACGGGUUAUUUAUACUUGGCUGUGAGGUUGCGUAUCACUGAUGCAGCCGGCUUCGGCUGCCUUUGGUACACCUUCACUGGUGAGUGGAAAAACAAGGAUAAUCUGACGGGCUAUGUGAACCUGAUUCUUCACCGCCUCCCAUGCACCUUGUAAAGUCACUCAAACCUGGGAAACGGGAGAGAAAAACACUACCAGUGAAACAAAUGAAAUAUUCCAACUUAUUUAGCACAGGUACCUGUGACCAAAACAGGAAUAAAACAGUAGUCAUGCCUUUAUGUCCCUGGGACAGAAAGAAAAGAAAAUGAAGACACUGGUUUAGUUGCCGUUUACCUUAAGGAGGCAAGUGCAAACUGCAUUAUUUUACACCUGUGUUUUUAAGGUGUUGCACAAUGAAGAACCAGGCUCACACGUCCCUUCCAACAAAGCACUUUUCAUACUGCCUUGGCAGCACUGCCCACCAGAAAGAGCCCUGGCAUAAAGAGAUGCCCAGCUGGCACUUUUGCCAGUUUCUAUAUGGAAAAAUCUGCAAGUUAUUUUCCCAGUUUUAGUUAAUUUAUGCUGAAAAGGUUUGCAAAAUAAAAAGAUGAAGAUUGAAAUUAAUCACAAUUUUAAAAACAGUGUUUUUUCUGGUCUGCACAGUGAAGCUUGUUAGUACCCUCAUCACUUUCUGAUGUUUAGUUUUCAUCCCAAUUCAGAUGAGAAAUUUCAUGAAAGCUCAAAAUCUUUUGCAGAGACUUUUUUCACCCAGCCCCAGUGGUCAGAUCUGGAAAAGAGGAGGUCCACAUAUAGUUUUUGAAGUCACCUUUGCUUCCCACUUCAUUUCUGCAUACUGUUUGUGAUCUUAACCUGGGCUGCAAUGGUUUCUGCUUGAUUUCGCUCACUUUCAGGUAUCUCCAAAGCUCCUGCCUACUGGCAUCCCUGUUUGGUAUCCAGUUCACCACAGCUUUGCAAAAUCAUAGACUGCAUAAGAUUCUUCACACUGUUCAUCCUCUCCAUAUAAAAGAUGACUCCUCUUAUAUAGGUUCACUAAUAGCAUUUGGCUGCACUGGGAAUGGCCACUUAAUCCAAGGCGGCUGUUCCCGUUCGAUUGAUCUCAGCCCCAUCUCUUUCCUCGGUCAGUCUGUUCCUGAACCCUUUUCGCCCUAUAAAAGUGGCACUACCUCUUGAUUCAUUUCUACCACUUGCUGCAUUAGUGCCUUACUCAGCAGCUUUCUCCCCAUAUUUAUGGCUCUCUGUGAAACAGGAAUGGCAUUAAGUCAUUGUUUAUUCCCUCUUUGCAUCUUGGUUAGCUGCAUGUGCGUCACCUCUGCAAUAAUCUAAAUACACUGUCUAUUCCCACAUUUUACAAGACAUGAGUCCAGUUGGAGGUCUACUUCAUAAUCUCUAGGAAGGAUAAAUUCAACCCUUUCCGCAAGAUUUUCACAGAACAACUACUUCUUAAGCACAGAUUUUUCUCCACCUGGCAUUGUAUGCUCUGCAAAAACAUCCACAAGCGAUAGUCCUGCGCUAGGGUGAUGUGAAACAGCAAAACGCCUUGUCCCAAAGGACUUAUGUGGUCUCCCUUGUGUUUUGAGGUUGACUUAACAGUGACUAACCCAGAACAGCAGGUCAUUGCUAUAGCCACAGUUUUUCAUAUAGACACUACUACUGUCUAGUGUGAAUUCACGGAGCCCUCCCUCCACUGAGAGCAUUCAGAUACAUUGCUGGAGGCAGCACUAGAGAUAACAACAGAUAUUUGGUACUGGGACAGAAGAGAGGGAAGGGUUUGUUUUCUUUCGAUUAGAAAUGUUGCCUGAACGAAACACUUCCUACAGGUGAAAAAUGGGAUCAAAAACUUGAAGGAGUUAAGGACUCCUCACUGAUUUUCUUUUUCCUUUGUUAAAAAGUGUAGACUCAAGCUGCCCUAUUUAUUUUUUAUGUAGUUUUUCUUAAAAAAAAAAAAAAGAAUUAAAGAAGUCACAUACCAUGUUGCCUGUCUUUCAGCAGAUCAUAUUGUUGUAUGUAAUGGGCAGGAAGGUGAUAAAUUACCGCUUUUAAUGAGUAUUAGGCUGUAACAUUGGAGCCUUUACACAUCUGGAGAACCAACUGUAAAGAAACCCCAUAACCGGUAUCAGUGGAAGCAUACAAUCAGAUUAGCCAUCUUGGCAGAUGCUCUUGGAAGCCUAGUACAGACGAAUGAUGAAAUCCCACUGUCAGGGCUGACCUGCAGUGAGUCCAAGCAAUAAGCAGAGUCAUGCUGCAGAAGCCUCAGUUGCUGCCACUUCCUUGGAUCCUCAGUGAAAUCAGGAGGAAGGCUACUAGGCUUUCAGUAGCAGAAAAAGGCAGCAACACGUAGAGAGGGAAAGAAUGACUUGCCUGGAAGAAUAAGAAUCCAGACUCAGAACCAAAACUAAUAAGAGACCCCAUACUGAAAAUUCAGAGAACGUCAAUAAAUUGAUUGGGAAAAAAAUCCCAAACACUUCUAUUGUAGUUCUUUAAAAUAAAAAAGAACAGCAGCACAUGGGAUAUAGUGCAGGCAUCUCCAGAGCCAUUUGUUGUAUGUGUCUAAGGAUCUGUCAAGUAGACUGCGGAGCUGUAUAAUGAUGUCUGCAGCCUAAAGGCUAGACAGAGUAAAAUAACUUAACAAAAGCUUUUAGAACUACUAUUUACAUAAAUGCAGAAAACUGCCCUAAUUAGUAACAGCCUAUGUCAGCCAAAAAAGGAGAAAAGAGUGCUUUUCUCAAUAAAAGUGUCAUUAUGUCUAGAAAUGAAAGUACGGCAAAAUGUUGAAAUCCCUGAAAGGCUACGAUCCAUAAUCCUGCGGUUUGUUUAAAGUUUUGAUCCCGCAGGCUUGGGCCCCUGCGCAGCAGAGUGAUUGCUGAGCUCCUUCCAACUCUGUGAUUAUUGGUGCCUUCUGCAAUAUACUUUGAGCUUCUUUUUCUGUAAACUGGACGGUUUUUUUCCUACACUACAAAUGCGCCUAAGUGGUGACGGCCGCCAGAAGGAUGUGCAUAUGAUCCAGUGCAUAAUCACUUCCACAAGCAUCUGCUGCUAGUGCUUUCAAGAUACAUGUAAUCCAAGCUGGAGACUAUUGUGAAUACCUCUCAUUUUCCCUUGCUGGUUCCUUAGCGGUUUGCUUGUAGCUAGUUAGAAACAGAAUCCCCCAUCCUGCUUAAAUUGGUUAUAAUCUCUCCAAGAUUCGUGCUACAGCAGGAAAAGACCAAACUGCAUCGAGUUCAGGGUGGGUUCAUUCUCUUAAAGGUACGACAUGCAAAGAUGCAGGAAAGAACAGAGGUUAAUUUUUAUUUCUAAAGAAGAGGUCCUCUGGCUAAAUGUAAGUAGCUGAAAAAAUAGAUGUUUCAACCAAUAUUCCACGUACAAUUGUGAAUUAACAUUUGUCUGUAUUUGCAUAAUCUAAAGCCCUCUGCUCCUUUCCCAUUCUAAAGAAAAUUAAAAAAGCAGAAUGUGUUUACUACUCCAAAUUUCACAGGUAUGCCAAUUACUUCUUUCCCAUUUCUAUGUCAGACAUUUCAGGUUGUGUCUUUGUCCUUAGGAAAUGGAUUUUUUCCAUUAUCCCUAGAAAGUGAAUAUCUGGAAAAAUACAGAUUCCCAAAAGUAAUUUUCUUCUCUUGUUCAAGGGUUGUUAUGCACCAUUCAAAUCUUGCAGAGAGUUAUCAGUGGCUAAAUAUUUAUUACAUGAAACCAGGGCCUUAUUAAUGGAAUCAAUAUCUAACAAUAACUAAAUAAAUAUCCAUGUAAUUACUCCAGUGUUCAGAAUUUUGCUUUUAAUGGAACGAUACCAGUACUAUCCUAUCUGAUUAUAGAUUACAUAUGUACAAGUAAGUGCUUUGCCAAACUUAUGUUCCGAUAUGCUUUCACAUGGAUUAAGUCUACAACUGACUAUUGGUGAAACUGUGUACCUGGACCGGAUCAUAGAGGAAAAAAAACAACCCUUACAAACUUAUAUCCAUGGUCUUUCUUUUAGCCAUCAUAUUCAAUUGUUUGUGGAGUAAAGGCAGUGUAUGCGCAC